rnacentral:rRNA from 1 species
UCUAGGGGGUCUGAGAGGAUGGUCCCCCACACUGGUACUGAGACACGGACCAGACUCCUACGGGAGGCAGCAGUGAGGAAUAUUGGUCAAUGGGCGAAAGCCUGAACCAGCCAUGCCGCAUGAAGGAUGACAGCGCUAUGCGUUGUAAACUUCUUUUGUACGGGAAGAAACACUUCUACUUGUAGAAGCUUGACGGUACCGUACGAAUAAGCAUCGGCUAACUCCGUGCCAGCAGCCGCGGUAAUACGGAGGAUGCAAGCGUUAUCCGGAUUUAUUGGGUUUAAAGGGUACGUAGGCGGAAAAUUAAGUCAGUGGUGAAAUCCCGCAGCUUAACUGUGGAACUGUCAUUGAUACUGGUUUUCUUGAAUAUAGUUGAGGUAGGCGGAAUGUGUAAUGUAGCGGUGAAAUGCUUAGAUAUUACACAGAACACCGAUUGCGAAGGCAGCUUACUAAACUAUGAUUGACGCUGAGGUACGAAAGCGUGGGGAGCGAACAGGAUUAGAUACCCUGGUAGUCCACGCUGUAAACGAUGAUCACUCGUUGUUGGCGAUAUACUGUCAGCGACUGAGCGAAAGCAUUAAGUGAUCCACCUGGGGAGUACGACCGCAAGGUUGAAACUCAAAGGAAUUGACGGGGGCCCGCACAAGCGGAGGAACAUGUGGUUUAAUUCGAUGAUACGCGAGGAACCUUACCUGGGCUUAAAUGCAGAACGACGGACCGGGAAACUGGUCUUUCUUCGGACGGACUGCAAGGUGCUGCAUGGCUGUCGUCAGCUCGUGCCGUGAGGUGUCGGGUUAAGUCCCAUAACGAGCGCAACCCUCAUCAUUAGUUGCCAGCGGGUAAUGCCGGGGACUCUAAUGAAACUGCCGGUGUAAACCGAGAGGAAGGUGGGGAUGACGUCAAGUCAGCACGGCCCUUAUGUCCAGGGCUACACACGUGUUACAAUGGUCGGUACAAAGGGCAGCUACC